rnacentral:tRNA from 1 species
GGGGUUGUGGCUUAGUGGUAGAGCGCUCACCUAGCACGUGUGGGACCCUGAGUUCAAUCCUCAGUACCA